rnacentral:rRNA from 1 species
GGCUUCCAUCUGGAAGAAUCUGGAGACAGGUGCUGCAUGGCUGUCGUCAGCUCGUGUCGUGAGAUGUUGGGUUAAGUCCCGCAACGAGCGCAACCCUUGCCUUUAGUUGCCAGCAGUUCGGCUGGGCACUCUAAAGGGACUGCCGGUGUUAAACCGGAGGAAGGUGGGGAUGACGUCAAGUCCUCAUGGCCUUUAUGACCAGGGCUACACACGUACUACAAUGGCCGAUACAAAGGGCAGCGACACUGCGAGGUGAAGCCAAUCCCGUAAAAUCGGUCUCAGUCCGGAUUGGAGUCUGCAACUCGACUCCAUGAAGUUGGAAUCGCUAGUAAUCGUGGAUCAGCAUGCCACGGUGAAUACGUUCCCGGGCCUU